GGCUUCACAAAGAUGGAAAAGGACCCAGGAAGAUCAACUAAAAACCGGUGAAACACAGUGUCAGCAGUCAUCAGGGGGUAUCAGGAGGUAUGGAAGGAGUCAUAGUACCACUAAUUAGGAGGUUUACAAGGAGUCAUAGUACCGCUAAUCAGGAGGUCUGGAAGGAGUCAUAGUACCACUAAUUAGGAGGUUUACAAGGAGUCAUAGUACCGCUAAUCAGAAGGUCUGGAAGGAGUCAUAGUUCCACUAAUCAGGAGGUCUAGAAGGAGUCACAGUACCACUAAUCAGAAGGUCUAGAAGGAGUCAUAGUACCACUAAUCAGGAGGUCUAGAAGGAGUCAUAGUUCCACUAAUCAGGAGGUUGAGAAGGAGUCAUAGUUCCACUGAUCAGGAGGUCUAGAAGGAGUCAUAGUACCACUAAUCAGGAGGUCUAGAAGGAGUCAUAGUACCACUAAUCAGGAGGUCUAGAAGGAGUCAUAGUACCACUAAUCAGGAGGUCUAGAAGGAGUCAUAGUACCACUAAUCAGGAGGUCUAGAAGGAGUCAUAGUACCACUAAUCAGGAGGUCUAGAAGGAGUCAUAGUACCACUAAUCAGGAGGUCUAGAAGGAGUCAUAGUACCACUAAUCAGGAGGUCUAGAAGGAGUCAUAGUACCACUAAUCAGGAGGUCUAGAAGGAGUCAUAGUACCACUAAUCAGGAGGUCUAGAAGGAGUCAUAGUACCACUAAUCAGGAGGUCUAGAAGGAGUCAUAGUACCACUAAUCAGGAGGUCUAGAAGGAGUCAUAGUACCACUAAUCAGGAGGUCUAGAAGGAGUCAUAGUACCACUAAUCAGGAGGUCUAGAAGGAGUCAUAGUACCACUAAUCAGGAGGUCUAGAAGGAGUCACAGUACCACUGAUCAGGAGGUCUAGAAGGAGUCAUCGUACCGCUAAUCAGAAGGUCUAGAAGGAGUCAUAGUUCCACUAAUCAGGAGGUCUAGAAGGAGUCACAGUACCACUGAUCAGGAGGUCUAGAAGGAGUCAUAGUACCACUAAUCAGGAGGUCUAGAAGGAGUCACAGUACCACUGAUCAGGAGGUCUAGAAGGAGUCAUAGUACCACUAAUCAGAAGGUCUAGAAGGAGUCAUAGUACCACUAAU